GUGCCAGCAGCCGCGGUAAUACAGAGGGUGCAAGCGUUAAUCGGAUUUACUGGGCGUAAAGCGCGCGUAGGUGGCCAAUUAAGUCAAAUGUGAAAUCCCCGAGCUUAACUUGGGAAUUGCAUUCGAUACUGGUUGGCUAGAGUAUGGGAGAGGAUGGUAGAAUUCCAGGUGUAGCGGUGAAAUGCGUAGAGAUCUGGAGGAAUACCGAUGGCGAAGGCAGCCAUCUGGCCUAAUACUGACACUGAGGUGCGAAAGCAUGGGGAGCAAACAGGAUUAGAUACCCUGGUAGUCCAUGCCGUAAACGAUGUCUACUAGCCGUUGGGGCCUUUGAGGCUUUAGUGGCGCAGCUAACGCGAUAAGUAGACCGCCUGGGGAGUACGGUCGCAAGACUAAAACUCAAAUGAAUUGACGGG
rnacentral:rRNA from 1 species